rnacentral:tRNA from 1 species
GCGGGGUUCGCAUAAUCUGGUAUUGCGCUGGUCUUGAAAACCAGUGUGGCUUCGCCACGUAUGGGUUCAAAUCCCAUACCCCGCGC